rnacentral:rRNA from 1 species
AUGGGCCGCGCAGUGUCGCUCGACAAGCUUCCCAACAACAACACGAAAGCUCAAAACGCCCAUAAAUUUGGGCUUGGUAUAGAACUUUUUAAUCUAGCCCUUUUAGCACGGCAAGCAUGGAGAUUAAUGCAGGAACCUGGGUCUCUCGGUGCCCGAGUGCUUAAAGCGAGAUAUUUUCCAAACUGUCAGCUUUUGGAAGCUACUUUGGGAUCAGCGCCAUCUCAGGUCUGGAGAGCAAUACUGGAAGGCAGAGAUGUUUUAUCUUUGGGUCUCAUUAAGCGAAUUGGUUCAGGAACAAACACGGACAUUUGGGAAGAAAACUGGUUACCAAGAGAUUAA